rnacentral:misc_RNA from 1 species
AUUACGAUAGCAAUAGCCCCUUCGGGGGUUAUCGCACCCACCCUUUGUCUACAAGUACCUCUUGUUGUUUCCUCGGCAGGCUUGCCUGCCGCCAGGAGGAAACCUCUUAAACUCUUUGUAUUUACAGUAUUAAAAUCUCUGAUAACUAUUUAAAUUAUCA